rnacentral:lncRNA from 1 species
GCCGUCGACCCCACGCCACGCAGAGGUGAAGAUACGCAGGACGUCCUCUAAAGCAACUUCCGUGGGUGCCAGGUUGUGGGCUGGGGGCGGUGCUGACCUUGAGAGAGCGGAGGAGGCGCAGGCGCAGCACAGUUUAAACUUGAUUUUGUGAGGGGACGAACAGCGUGACAAUUAAAAGAAGAUCUGGGAAUCGAAUACCCAUCUCGAGUUCUGGAUAUGUGCUCUGAGAAGGUGCCCAUGUCACCGACCACACUGGAGGCCAAUGCAGAUACUGGGGGAAGGUUCCAUGGUAGCUAAGUGUGGACAAGCUAAUCACUGAAGUUCCCUGAUGCAGAGUUGAUAAUCUCUCUAGAGUUGGAUGAAAGACUGUGCUGCCUUGAAGCUCUGAGAGAUGCCAUGCCAAUUCAAGGCAGGGUCUUUAUUGUUGAAACUCUUGCGUAAUGACAUCUUUAUUCAGGUGAAAAUACAGGAUGAAUUUCAACUAUAUGAUAUUGUUUAUGUUCCUCAGACAUGUUAUUUGUCUUUACAAAGAUUGGUUUCAAUAAACUGUGUGACUGAUAUUAAAUAAACAUGGAAUUUUACACAUUCAUAAUAUUUGGUUUCUUGUGAUUUUGAUGAACUAUACUUUCAAGCAUUGUCAGUUCAUCCUCAUUUACAAGGAAACAUUUGCUGUAGCAGAGUGAUGUAGUGACUUGCUUUACUUAAGAUAAGUCAACUUUUCUAUUCAAUGUUUAAUGUGAAACUGACUUAAAAAUUUUCUUUUAGGCCACAUUUACAUUUCUGUUUGUAUAACAUGCAUUAUACUAUUUUAACUUAAUACUAUGGCUAUAUAAACCAAAGACAUCCUAAUUCUGUUUUUAAUUUAUUGUUUUGCAAGAUAAAUAAUUUUUAAUGCACUAAUGAAGCUAAGGAGUUCAUAUUAAAAGACAUGUUAUAUGACCUACUGAAGUUGAGCUAUG